rnacentral:rRNA from 1 species
UACGUAGGGGGCUAGCGUUGUCCGGAAUCAUUGGGCGUAAAGCGCGUGUAGGCGGCCCGGUAAGUCCGCUGUGAAAGUCGGGGGCUCAACCCUCGGAUGCCGGUGGAUACUGUCGGGCUUGAGUACGGAAGAGGCGAGUGGAAUUCCUGGUGUAGCGGUGAAAUGCGCAGAUAUCAGGAGGAACACCGAUGGCGAAGGCAGCUCACUGGGACGGUAUUGACGCUGAGACGCGAAAGCGUGGGGAGCAAACAGG